UACGUAGGGUGCGAGCGUUGUCCGGAAUUAUUGGGCGUAAAGAGCUUGUAGGCGGUUUGUCGCGUUGUCCGUGAAAUUCCCUGGCUUAACUGGGGGCGUGCGGGCGAUACGGGCAGACUGGAGUACUGCAGGGGAGACUGGAAUUCCUGGUGUAGCGGUGGAAUGCGCAGAUAUCAGGAGGAACACCGGUGGCGAAGGCGGGUCUCUGGGCAGUAACUGACGCUGGAGGAGCGAAAGCGUGGGGAGCGAACAGG
rnacentral:rRNA from 1 species